rnacentral:rRNA from 1 species
CUACGGGGGCUGCAGUGAGGAAUAUUGCACAAUGGGGGGAACCCUGAUGCAGCAACGCCGCGUGGAGGAUGACGCAUUUCGGUGUGUAAACUCCUUUUAUAUGUCAAGAAAAUGACGGUAGCAUAUGAAUAAGCGCCGGCUAACUCCGUGCCAGCAGCCGCGGUAAUACGGAGGGCGCAAGCGUUACUCGGAAUCACUGGGCGUAAGGGACGCGUAGGCGGGUUGAAAAGUCAGGUGUGAAAGCCUACAGCUUAACUGUAGAACUGCACUUGAAACUCUCAAUCUAGAGUAUGGGAGGGGCAGAUGGAAUUAGUGGUGUAGGGGUAAAAUCCGUAGAUAUCACUAGGAAUACCUAAAGCGAAGGCGAUCUGCUGGAACAUUACUGACGCUAAGGCGUGAAAGCGUGGGGAGCAAACAGGAUUAGAUACCCGUGUAGUC